GGUUGGUCUGAGUGCAGUGCUAUUUACAACUAAUUGAUCACAACCAGUUACAAAUUCCUUUGUUCCUUCUCCACUCCCACUGCUUCACCUGACCAGCCUAUA
rnacentral:Y_RNA from 1 species